CCAGGGCUUUCCCCUCCCCACCCUCCCCCAGCCCGGCUGCCAACCUCCGGUGCCCUGGGAUUUUGAGGACUGGCUGGAGUCCCUGCUUCCCCCUUAGAGGGCGGCAGCGGGGCGUCUCGGGGACGCAUGCGCCCCAAAUUGCGCUCGGGGAAUUAAAAGAGGGGAAAAAAAGCCCCAAGAAAACUCACGCCCCAAACAAAACGCAAGUAGAGGAGGGCGCGCGGCCUGCAGCCCUCACCCGCGUCCCCGGCCGCGGCGUGAUGCGCGCGGACCAGCCCGCGACGCCCGGGCUGCCGCUGUCCCCGCACCUGGACGCCGGCGCGGUGGCCGCGCCUCAGCCUCGAUCGCUCGCCGCGGCGACUCGGCCCCAGGCUCCCGGCGCCGGUGGGGGCCCUCGCUCUCCAUGGGGCUGAGGGACUGGCUGAGAACCGUGUGCUGCUGCUGCCGGUGCGAGUGCCUGGAGGAGCGCGCCCUGCCUGAGAAGGAGCCCCUAGUCAGUGAUAACAAUCCAUAUUCUUCAUUUGGAACAACUCUGGUGAGGGAUGAUGAGAAGAAUUUAUGGAGUAUGCCCCAUGAUGUGUCCCACACAGAGGCAGAUGACGACAGAACCCUGUGCAAUUUGAUAGUCAUUCGUAAUCAGCAGGCCAAAGACUCAGAGGAGUGGCAGAAACUCAACUAUGAUAUCCAUACCCUGCGGCAGAUUCGAAGGGAAGUAAGAAACAGAUGGAAGCGCAUCUUAGAAGAUUUAGGUUUUCAAAAGGAAGCUGACUCUUUGUUGUCAGUGACUAAACUCAGCACCAUCAGUGAUUCUAAAAACACAAGGAAAGCUCGAGAGAUGUUGUUAAAACUGGCUGAAGAAACCAAUAUUUUCCCAACAAGUUGGGAGCUCUCAGAGAGAUAUCUCUUUGUUGUGGACCGUCUCAUUGCACUUGAUGCUGCAGAAGAGUUCUUUAAGCUUGCUCGUCGAACUUACCCCAAGAAGCCUGGGGUUCCAUGCCUGGCAGAUGGCCAGAAAGAACUGCACUACCUUCCAUUUCCAAGUCCCUAAAGGAGAGGCUCAGGGGCAGAAUGGGAAUUCUUCCACGAGGACUCAGCCGUCAACCAAAGUUGGACGAUUACAUGUCGAAGAGAGUGAGCAAAUAGAGUUUGCUUAGUGAAAAAUGAUACUGAAUUCUACAUAAAUGUAAAGUCUUUAAUCUGAGGACCCUGCUCCAUGAAUUGUGCAGGCUGCACUGAAACGCCUUGGUGAUCUCACAUUUAGGAAGAAAGUUAAAGAGUUGGUCAGAUGGAUAGUUCAUAAUGGGUGGUUCCAUUACGAGAGCCCAUUGCUCCAGUUUUGGUUUUGUUUGUGUCAUAAUCUCUGAUCAUUAAUCCUACUGACUGAGUGCAAUAUUUCAAUUAAUAAAACAAUAUGAUUAAUAGAGCUGUCAUUGAGUCCCAAAAUGGAUUGCCAGUUUAAAAAUAAUUAUUAUAAAAUGUAUGCUAACCCCCAAAUAAUACUAGGCAUGAGGUGACCUCUCUGAUUUGGUCACCUUGUAGAACCUUGGAGGGUGUCAGGGCAUCUCUUUGAGUAUCAGUUAUGAUUAUUCAGAAGUAUAGAUGUAUCAGAUGAUAGAAAUGACAAGGAAUGGCUGGGCGCGGCGUGAGUCACUGCGCCCGGCCAAGCCCUUGGCAUUUUAUCUGGAAUGGCAUCUGUAAACUGAAAUGUUUGACCUCUGUUUUCUUCUCUUGUCUUUCAUCUGUUUCUGAUUCGUUAGCUGGCAGCUGCACCUGUGGGGGGACCUCUCAUGUAGACCUGCACAUAUGCAGGGAGUAUUGCACUGAAGAUCUUUGCUGGAACUCCUUCUCUUCAGAAGAUAAUUUUCAAAAGGGAGCAAUGCUGCGAAUGCCGCUUGCUUCUCUCUACAGAUUGAGAAGUCCAGCUUCAAAAGUUACUUGCCACUUAAGCAAGGAACUUAUCAAGAGAUCAUGGUUCCUGUUACUGAAAAGACUUUAAGGAUUUGUAAAGUUAAUCUAUAGAUUGCUGAGAACAAUGGCAAUAUUUUUAUUUUUACAGAUUUUGCACUUUGAAUUCAGGUUAAAAACUAACUUGUAUUUAGUCUGCUUAGAGGACUGUGACUUGAAACUUUUUAUAUACCAAUGAGCUUUUUGGUAGCGUCCACAAUGUUUAAAAUAUUUCAUAGGCGAAAUCCGUGUUCUCCUUUUAUUAAUGCAUUGUAGACCAAUUUAACUGCUGUGUUUCAGGAAAAUUCUUCCUAGUUUAAUAAGCAAGCUAAAAGUUUUAUUUUUUAUAUUUAGUGCUUAAUCUUUGCCUCAUGUUAUGUAAAAUUAGCCUGCAGAUAUUUUCUCUCAAUUCUGUAGGCUCUUGCAAGAUAAACAUUCAAACAGUGAAACAAACAAUAAAAUAAAUAAAUAUCAGGAUGUUGUAUUGUUUUACUCUCCGUCUCAGAAUUUGUAUUUUGCCUUUCUGCCUUUUUUAUGUCAAAAUAGAUGAGAUUGUUUGCAUCUAUAAAUUGUUACCAUAGUAUUUUUGAUAAUGAAUAAGGACUAUCUCUGUGAUUAUUAAAAUACAUGGAAUUAUCCAGGAAAUUUUCCUUACAAGGAAUUAAAAGACUCCUGUAUUUACU